ensembl:lncRNA
CUCAGAGCUCCAGCUUGAGACCCACGAGGAGGUCUCACAUACUGAGCUCCAGCCAGAGGUCAAUAUGGCGACCUCAGAGCUCCAGCUUGAGACCCAUGAGGAGGUCUCAGCUCCAGAGCUCCAGCCAGAGAUCAACGUGGCAACCUCAGCCCCAGAGUUUCAGCCAGAGACCCAUGAGGGGGUCUCAGCUCCAGAAAUCCAGCAUAAGGUCAAGUUCCUGCUAGAGGUCAACGAGGUGACCUACCAAGUCAUGUUCAUGUCCCAGGUCGAAGAGACGGCCAACCCAAGCUCUGCUCAUGCCAAGUUCCUGUCCCAGGUCGAAGAGAUGGCCAACCCAAGCUCUGCUCAUGCCAAGUUCCUGUCCUAGGGCGAAGAGACGGCCUCCCAAGACACGUUACUGUCCCAGGUCGAAGAGACGGCCAACCCAAGUUCUGCUCAUGCCAAGUUCAUGAACCAGGUCAAAGACACGGCCAACCCAUGCUCUGCCCACAUCAUGUUCCUGUCCCAGGUCGGUGCAGAAGUCAUUAACAACCAGUCACGAGCUCCCUUUAAGACAGAGUUGCAGCCUUCCGCGCGCUUUGAGUCCCAGGAGUUGGGCGCGUGCACGAGUGCUCAGCGAGCGGACGCUCGUCAAAUGUUGAUAACUGUGACAUUGUUUACUAUGCACACGUGCGUUUGUUUUGUUUCUGAUCUGUCACCUCCCUGUUUUGUCAUUGGUUGUUGUUCGAGGGUGUGUCGUCAUUGUUUUCAGCUGUCAGCACUUAACGCUGAUUAUGUUCGGGAUAAAUACCCCUCGCCUCACAGUACACCUCGCAGAGUAUUAUAGUCAAUAUAGUUCCAUAGUAGUUAGUUUAUGUCACGUACCUCGAUAGAUUUAGUUAGUUUAAAGUUAGAUUAGUUUACUUAGACCACGCUGGUGUUUUCCGCUCCCAGUUCCCAGUCAUAGUUUCAUGUUUCAUGUUUCGUGUUUUGAUCCUGUUUUCUGUGACCGCGACUUCGAUUCCUGCCUAACCCUGUACAAGCCUGUUUGCCGAUCGCCCGACCCACUGCCUGUUUUUGACUACACCUCUGUUUCACGCUUUGUAUUUAUCUGCCUGCCUCUUCAAUAAAGCUCUUAACUGCAAUUGCUUCCGCCUCCGUUCCCGUUUCGUGACACAGGAGAAGGUCUGGUGAAUUUAUUCUCAAGAAAGUAAUUUCAGUCUAGUUUUGAUAGAGUGGUAAUGAAUGAUAUGACUCAUUUUUUUUUAAAGAAGCAUUUUUACAUACUGUACGUGUAUGAAGUAGUUUUCAAUGCUACAAUAAUUUUUUAAAAAUAGCCAUCAGUCAUUUUUACACAUUUGUAUAUAGCGAAUUAUGCUAUCAACAAUACACAAACAACACAAGGCUUGUUUUAGUGUACUAUUCUGCCCUUUUUCUCUUCUUGUUCAAAGGGUGGCGAACUGAACAAACAGCAUGCAUCAGUGAGUCAGCAGAUCCUCAUUCAUUUGCCUAGUUCGUUCAUUUCUUUCACAAACAACAAUGACCAGUUUGUUAAUUUUGUUCACGAACUACAAGUACCAGUUUGCUCAUAAUCAGUAUGUUUGUCACUCUCAUUCUGACUCAAAAGUAUGGGGAUUAUUUGUUCGGUAGGUCCAACCAAUGACAUUCUCCUUCACAGCCCACACUCUAAUGCAGUCUUUAAAAAGCAGGAAACAUCUGCCAGUCAUGUGUUUUACAUGGACGUGGAUGAGAACGGUUCAUUCACUUAAAAGAUUCUUUCAAAAACAUUGAUUCAUUCAUCCAGGGGGAAAUACGUGUUUCACAGACAUACUUUGCGAUUUUAAUCCUGUCCGAAUCUGACAAGUCUGCGUUUUUUAAAAUUUUUUUAUUAUUAUUAUUUAAUCUCACCUGGAUACUGUAGACUGGUACCUAAGAACUGCUACUGUAAUCAUAAAGACCCAUGUCUUAUGCUCAUCCUAGGACACUUAUUCACAAUAUGCUCACAGUGUACAUCCUUCCAUCACACAAGUACACCUUGACUUUACUCUUCUAUACCUGAACACUCUAAUGAUUUAUAAUCCCACUAUCUGGGGGAUUAUUGUUUCCCUUUUGAAUAUGUCUUCAUGGUUUCUUACUCAUGUCACCUCAGGGAGAUUUUCCUUGCCACUGUUGUUUCUAGUCUGCUCAUUAGGAAAUCUGAAUUUACAUCCACCUUUGAAGCUGCUUUGUGUCAAUGUCGAUUGCUAAAAACACAAUAAAAAUUUUAAUUGAAUUGAGUCAUGUGGUCUUACCCUCUGCAGAGAGGACAGCUCAUUCCUAAAAAAGCUGCCAAAGAAAUCAUCUGAUGUCAUAGUUUUACUUCUAAGGGCCGAGGCAAAAUAAGGCUCUUUUGUCCCUGGAGGUUUAAUAUCAUCUCUUAGUUGAUUGGCCUCAUCCUCAUCAGAUGUACAGUUCUCUUCAGAACAUUUUUCUUUAUCACUGAUGUUUUCGGUCAGCUUCUUCAACUUCUGUUUGAGCUCCAGUUCCUCUGGGUCUAAAGUUUCAGCCUGAGACAGCAGGAAAUAGAAAGUUUCCUGAGGGUGAGAAACUUGUCCCUUAAAUUGCAAAUGACAUUACAAAACCACACUUACAGAAUAUCACUGUUUAGAGGAACAUCAGUCAAAUGUCAGUUCUAUCAUGAACAUGAUUAACUAAGCUCUGUGAACCAUUAUUUGUUGUACAUUUUUUAAUAUUUGGGUAUCACAAAAUGACUUUUCC